GUUGGGAUUCGUAACGUGCACCAAUUGCCCGAUACGAAUAGGUUUAUUACUUAGAUGUUAAAAAACCCUAAAGGCGCCUAACUACUUUUUUUCACUUCACCUUUUCUAGCAACCGUCUCAUACUCUCUCUCCUCUCUCUUACCCUCUCUCUUUCUCUCUUCUCGGAUUCUGCUUCUUUUAAUGGAUAUUGUUUCUCACUUAACUUUCUCUUCCACUUCUCCUUACCUCCAUUUUCUUUCUCCUUGCUCCAUUGAUGAACCUUCCUUCAAUUUCCCCUUUUCUGAUUUUUGAUUUGAUUUGAUUUAUUUUUUUGUGUGUUUUUUCGAUUUGAUUUUGUUAUUUUAUUGUUUGGGGUUGAUUAGGUGAGAAGGGAAGAAGGAUUAAGGAUUUGAGCUCGAUUUUGUAGAAGAGGUUUAAUUUGCGAUUAUCCGGCACCGAUAAGGCGAUUUUGUAGAAAGCCGGCAUCGAUAAGGCGAUUAUCCGCUAGAUCUCUGCAAAGCGGCGGCAGCGAUACUCCUCCUCGGGUGAAAAGGGAAGAAAGAUUAGGGAGCUGAGUUCAAUUGUGUAGAAGAAAUUUAAUUCCAUUAUCGCUCAGUGCGAUUCUCUUCGUUACAAGCUUCUUCGUUACAAGCUUCUCGGAGGUCUUGCUGCCAGAAGAUGGUAAGCCUGCGCCUCUCGUUCAGCGGCCAGCUCGAAAUUCAGUUGAAAAAUUGGAUGCCUUGCUGGUACAGACAUGGUCUUGCGGAUGAUUCCCAGGUGACUUUGUUCUGACCUGAUUGUAUCCUGCUUACACGUUGAUACCUAAUCGUUUUUUCUUUUUUUUUUUUUUUUAAAAAAAAUUUAAAAUAUGGUUUUUUCUACGAUGAUGCAGCUGCGCGCUAUCGUUGCUUCAAUGGUUAUGGUUGUUGCUGCAGUUGGAGCUGCGAUUACUCCCUUCUCUUGGAUGCUGAUGUUUCUCUUUAUUUACUUUUUUUUUUUACAAUAUUAUUGAGAUGUAAAAUUGUAUUUAGUGCUUGAUAAUAUGUAAAAUUGGAUUUGGUCUUUGGUAAUAUGUAAAGAUUGGAUUUG